rnacentral:lncRNA from 1 species
CAAUACAAUUAAAUUAUAUAAUAUUAGUAUACAAGGUAUCAGGUGAUGACCAAUGUCUAAAACGACGUCUUCUACAAAGGUGGAAGGUCAAGUUAUUGGAGAUGAUAUAUAAGCUCUUGUGGGAGUUUUUAGUGUGUGGUCAACUGAAGAGCAUUAGACAAUCAGGGAAGCCAAGAAAAACUGGGUCCAAAAAAAAGAACUAUGGUGUCUCCACUAAAAGAACUGUAGUUCAUCGUCAUUUCAAUUUUCUACAUUCAUCUCCCAGUUGUUUUCACCAUCCUCUCCUCAACAGAGCACAAAAAGGAUUGAUCCUCCUCAGUUCUAAUUCCUUUGU